rnacentral:lncRNA from 1 species
CGCUGGUUCAAGUCCCAGCUGUUUCACUUCUCAUCCAGCUCCCUGCUAAUGGCCUGGGGGAAGCAGUGGAAGAUGGUCCAAGUGCUGGGGCCCCUGCCACCCACAUGGGAGACUCUCUUCUGGAAGAAGCUCAUGGCUCAGGACUUGUCCAGCCCUUGCUGUUGUGACCAUCUGGGGAGUGAACCAGCAGAUGGAAGGUCUCUCUCUGUCUCUCCCUUUCUCUCUGUAACUCUGACUUUCAAACAAAUAAAUAAAUAUUUUUUAAGAAAAAGAAUGAAAUAUAUUUUUGAAUGAAUUUAACACAUGGAGAUAGUUUUCAUUCACACAUUGAAAUAUGUUGUCUCAAAACUUUCUAGGAACUCUUAUUUCAAAAUAUGUUCUGAACCCAUCAAAAUAAGAUUUUUCACCUUUGAAGAGACAUUGAUACAACCAUGUGGUAUCUGAGACAACUGUACAAUUCUAUACUUACAGAGUAAAAGCAUCCACACAAAACACAUAAAUGAAGGAGUAUCUGUUUUAUGCACAGAAAAGGUGGAAGUUUGGAUUUGGUUCAUGGUCCUUGGCUUUGUACCACCGAUUGAACCCUUCUCUACAUAACAACAUAACUAAUUGCACUAUUAUUGCCAGAGGGCUGUGUAGAGAUCUAUGGAAUGUGGUACCUGCUUAUAAUUUUGAAGUUUACACACUUUUAAUAUGGAGGAAACCCUUACUUGAUCUUUUCACCUUUGAUGUCUUGGAUAUAAAGUUCUGACAUGAUCAUUUCUUACACAUACUUCUUAAGUGGAUUUUUCACUAAUAACAAAAGAAAGUUAAAAGUCUGGCCUCACAGCCUACAUACUUUUUUUUUUUUUAAUAUUUACCUCGAAUAGCUAAAGCAAUCUUGUACAUCAAAAACAAAGCUGGAGGCAUCACAAUACCAGAUUUUAGGACAUACUACAGGGCAGUUGUAAUCAAAACAGCAUGGUACUGGUACAGAAACAGAUGGAUAGACCAAUGGAACAGAAUACAAACACCAGAAAUCAACCCAAACAUCUACAGCCAACUUAUAUUUGAUCAAGGAUCUAAAACCAAUUCCUGGAGCAAGGACAGUCAAUUCAA